UACGGAGGAGGCAAGCGUUAUCCGGAAUUAUUGGGCGUAAAGCGUCCGUAGGUGGUUGUUCAAGUCAACUGUUAAAGCGUGGGGCUCAACUCCAUAAGGGCGGUUGAAACUGAAUGGCUAGAGUGCGAUAGGGGCAAGGGGAAUUCCCAGUGUAGCGGUGAAAUGCGCAGAUAUGACAUAGAACACCGAUUGCGAAGGCAGCUUGCUACACGAUCAUUGACACUGAGGCACGAAAGCGUGGGGAUCAAACAGG
rnacentral:rRNA from 1 species